CAUAACCGCCAUCGCUCUCACUUCUCCGGCACGACCUCGCGUUAGGUUUCGACAUCGUAACUACCACAUGAAUAGACCGUCCAUUGUAUUUGGUGGUCAUUAGUACUUCUACUCACGGUUGCCCAUUGUUUUCCGGUGCUGUUAAAACUGGAUGGAGGUACCCUUUCUUGACCUCUUGAUUUCCCUUUCCACCCUCAAGCCAUCACAUCAUGAGAGAGAGAAUUCAAGAAGGGUUUGUUGAUUCAGAGGGCGAUGCAUCACGCAGUAAUUUGACUGGCGAGGGGUCCAGAGAGGAGUCCAUGGCGAUCCUGUGAUGGCAGAAUGUGCACAAACUAAGCACGUAAGUCCAAUCUUUGAAGAUUAGGUUGGGUUUGGUUUAGCAACAUCACAUGGUUCUCAAUCAAUUAUUUAUCGAGUUUAACCCCACCGGGCAAGCACAUGUCGCUCUCUCACUUGCUGGUCCAUGAUGCCUUCUAGUGCCUAGUGUAGUGUGCUGGCUGCUGCUUAAUUAAUCAUCCACAUCUUUGCUUUUGCCUUUCUUUCUCUCUACAUCCUUACCAUCCCAUUUACACAGAGAGAGCUCCAAUUCCACCACCUCUGGUUCGGCUUCAAUUAGCUCGGACUGUGAUAUCCGCGAGACUCGCACAGAUGCCGGGCUGGGGACCGCCGCCAGGAGGGCCUCCCGGGCCGCCGGGGCCGUGUGGUUGCUUGUGCUUUUGCUGCGAAGGAAUCUGCCGGGCGAUAUCUUCGUGUUUUUAUGUCCUCUGCUGCUGCUGUAUCUUCGAGAGCUGCUGCGGGCCGGUGUUCGGUGGCCGACCAGGGCCUCCGGGCCCUUUUGGUGGUCCGCCAGGUCCUCCAGGUGGUCCGCGCGGUCCGUUUGGCGGCCCUCACGGCGGGCCUCAUGGGCCAUUCGGCGGCCCCCCAGGCCCUCCCGGUGGACCUCCGCGCUUCUGAUGAGCCUGCAGUAUAAAUCUUGUACUUGACAACCGAUGUACAGACAUGUACUUCUAUAUGUUUGAUGUAGAAUUCUUGUCGCUGUGAAAUUCCCAAUUGCCAUUGCACUUCCUUCCA